rnacentral:rRNA from 1 species
CCUACGGGAGGCAGCAGUGACGAAUGUUUGCAAUGGAGGGAAAUUUUGCCCCAGGCAAGGAGCCUGCAAGCCGACACGCUUAUGGGUUGAAAAAUGCUUUUGGGUUGUAAAAAUUUUGUCCAGGGGAAAAAAAUGACGGUACCCGAAGAAGAAGCCCCGGCUAACUACGUGCCAGCAGCCGCGGUAACACGGAGGGGGCGAGCGUUGUCCGGAAUUACUUGGCGUAAAGGGCAGGUAGGCGGAGAUGUAAGUUUGAUGUUAAAGGUACUGGCUCACCCAGUGUACGGCAUCAGAUACUGCAUUUCUAGAAUGCGGUUGGGGAAGACGGAAUUCCUGGUGUAGCGGUGGAAUGCGCAGAGAUCAGGAGGAACACCGAUGGCGAAGGCAGUUUCUAAGCCGUUACUGACGCUAGC